ensembl:lncRNA
AUGCGAUCAACACCAAAUCACCCCCGCCAGGCACGAUCCAUCAUCUCCGCGAUGCGAUGGGCCCUUUUAUGGCUGUGUCUACGCGGGGGGCGGGCGGGAGGGAAGGGGGAGGGAGCGGAGAAAAGGGAGCGAGAGCGUGUGAGUGGGGAGGGGGCAUCCGCCGCAAUGGGAACCGCAGCCCCCCCCGGCUCCUGGAGCGGCGGAUCCGAAGGUUGCCGGUCCGGGGCCGCGCCUGGCAGCGGGCCCCGCCGCCUCCGCCUGCCAUCAGCCUCCCCUCCCCCCUCCGGCUCCUCCGGGGCGAGCUUGACUGGCGUUAAAUUAAUAAUUAAUCGGGUGAAAUUGAUUAAAGGGCUCUGCGCGCGAUGGGGCGCAGGGAGAGCCCUUCCCCUCCUCUCCUGCAGCGGGGAGCCGCCGGCACUGGGAGCUCCGGCCCGAGCAGGAAGGAAAAGGGCGGCGGGGAGCGGAGCGGGGCGGGGGAGGAAGGCGGCGGCGGCUGCAACAGCAGCAGAAGCAGCAGCAGCAGCCCCGCUGGUGGCUGCCUGCAAGCGAGAGCGGCGGCAGCAGCAGGAGAGGGCUGGCCUCAGGCUGGCUCGGCUCCGCGCAGCUGGGAGUGCGUGUGCGUGUACAAAGCCGGAGCCCGGGAGCUGCCCGAGGGCGGUGCUCGGCACCACAACGCCAACCUCCCCCUCCCUUCCCUGCCCCCCCCUCCUUCUCUCCCCUCCCGCCGAGAUCAGUCUGUGCCACGGAAGGAGUGGGGAACCGCAGGGGACGCGGCCGGGCCGCCGCACGCCUCAGCUGCAGCCCCGCCGAGGUGGGAAAGGGUUAAACGUUGGCGGGGGCCGGGGGAUGGGAAGCGAGGGGAGGGGGAUGCCGAGCGCAGGGAAACCACAGCGCACCUGGGCUCGGCUCGGGAGCCGGAACGAGCCGCCGUCUCCUCCUCCUCCUCCUCCUCCCUCCCAACCGCGCGGUGCCCGCCCGGCCCGGAUCGCGGCUCUAUCUCGGCAGCAGCGGAGCGCAGCUCCCCCGGUCCUAUCGGCCGCUCCUUCUAACCCCAGUGACCCAGAUAACGCGGCGGCCUCGCCCCCACUCUCGCCCCGCAGCACGCCGAGGCCCCGAGCCGCCUCCUUCCCCCCCCUUCCCGCUUCCUCCCCGGGGGCUGCGGGGCCGCCCCGGCUUUGCCCUCCGUCCGCAGCCCCUCCCGGCCCCUGCGGUGGGGCACCCUCGCCGGGCCCCGUUCCCUCGGGUCGGGGAGGUGCUGCCAUCCCCCCGGGCCGGCCUGGGGUCAUUGUAUGGCUGCGCGGAGCCAGCCCGCCGUCAAAAUACCAAUUAAAACCCAAACAAACACCCCGAGCCGGUCUUUCCUGGACACGCGGGUCGGAGCCACCGCAGCCCCAGCGUUGUUAUUCCUGGUCUGGAAAUAGCCCUGGCUCCGCCCUGACAAUCGCCUGUCAGAGGCCUCUCCUCUCCCCUCCCGGAGGCCCUGCCCUGCCCCGCUCUAUUUACUUUGGAAGUGCGUGCAGGGACGGGAGCGGCGCGGUGCCUCCUGCCCGCGUUCCCCGGCACGCGGGAUACGGCGAAUCCCGUCCCCGCUCCGCGUGA